GUGCUCGCUUCGGCAGCACAUAUACUAAAAUUGAAACGAUACACAGAAGAUUAGCAUGGCCCCUGUGCAAGGAUGACACACAAAUUCAUAAAAAUAAAAAAAAUAAA